rnacentral:pre_miRNA from 1 species
GAAAUACUCCCUCCGUCCGAAAAUACUUGUCAUCAAAAUGGACAAAAAGGGAUGUAUCUAGAACUAAAAUACAUCUAGAUACAUCUCAUUUUAUUCAUCUUGAUGACAAGUAUUUCCGGACGGAGGGAGUACCAA